rnacentral:misc_RNA from 1 species
GCCUGUUCGAGCGUCAUUAUGACCACUCAAGCGUAAGCUUGGUAUUGGGGUUCGCGUGCUCGCGGCCCUUAAAAUCAGUGGCGGUGCGUCUGGCUCUAAGCGUAGUAAUUUUCUCGCUAUAGAGUUCUGGUGGUUACCUGCCAUAACCCCCCACUUCUUAGGUUGACCUCGGAUCAGGUAGGGAUACCCGCUGAACUUAA